rnacentral:rRNA from 1 species
AGUGAACGCUGGCGGUAGGCCUAACACAUGCAAGUCGAACGGCAGCACAGUAAGAGCUUGCUCUUACGGGUGGCGAGUGGCGGACGGGUGAGGAAUACAUCGGAAUCUACUUUUUCGUGGGGGAUAACGUAGGGAAACUUACGCUAAUACCGCAUCCGACCUACGGGUGAAAGCAGGGGAUCUUCGGACCUUGCGCGAUUGAAUGAGCCGAUGUCGGAUUAGCUAGUUGGCGGGGUAAAGGCCCACCAAGGCGACGAUCCGUAGCUGGUCUGAGAGGAUGAUCAGCCACACUGGAACUGAGACACGGUCCAGACUCCUACGGGAGGCAGCAGUGGGGAAUAUUGGACAAUGGGCGCAAGCCUGAUCCAGCCAUACCGCGUGGGUGAUGAAGGCCUUCGGGUUGUAAAGCCCUUUUGUUGGGAAAGAAAAGCAGCAGGUUAAUACCCCGCUGUUCUGACGGUACCCAAAGAAUAAGCACCGGCUAACUUCGUG